rnacentral:rRNA from 1 species
UACGAAGGGGACUAGCGUUGUUCGGAUUUACUGGGCGUAAAGCGCGCGUAGGCGGAUCGCUAAGUCGGGGGUGAAAUCCCGGGGCUCAACCUCGGAAUUGCCUUCGAUACUGUUAGUCUUGAGUCCGGGAGAGGUGAGUGGAAUUCCUAGUGUAGAGGUGAAAUUCGUAGAUAUUAGGAAGAACACCAGUGGCGAAGGCGGCUCACUGGACCGGUACUGACGCUGAGGCGCGAAAGCGUGGGGAGCAAACGGG